CCUACGGGGUGCUGCAGUGGGGAAUAUUGGACAAUGGGCGAAAGCCUGAUCCAGCCAUGCCGCGUGUGUGAAGAAGGCCUUCGGGUUGUAAAGCACUUUCAGUGGGGAAGAAAGCCUUGGGGCUAAUACCCUCGAGGAAGGACAUCACCCACAGAAGAAGCACCGGCUAACGCCGUGCCAGCAGCCGCGGUAAUACGGAGGGUGCGAGCGUUAAUCGGAAUUACUGGGCGUAAAGCGCGCGUAGGCGGUCUGAUAAGCCGGUUGUGAAAGCCCCGGGCUCAACCUGGGAACGGCAUCCGGAACUGUCAGGCUAGAGUGCAGGAGAGGAAGGUAGAAUUCCCGGUGUAGCGGUGAAAUGCGUAGAGAUCGGGAGGAAUACCAGUGGCGAAGGCGGCCUUCUGGACUGACACUGACGCUGAGGUGCGAAAGCGUGGGUAGCAAACAGGAUUAGAUACCCCUGUAGUC
rnacentral:rRNA from 1 species